rnacentral:rRNA from 1 species
AGAGUUUGAUCCUGGCUCAGAUUGAACGCUGGCGGCAUGCCUAACACAUGCAAGUCGAACGGUAACAGCAGAGCUUGCUCUGGCUGACGAGUGGCGGACGGGUGAGUAAUAAAUAGGAAUCUGCCUAGUAGUGGGGGACAACGUGGUGAAAACCACGCUAAUACCGCAUACGCCCUACGGGGGAAAGUGGAGGAUCUUCGGACUUCACGCUAUUAGAUGAGCCUAUUUCUGAUUAGCUUGUUGGUGAGGUAAUGGCUCACCAAGGCAACGAUCAGUAGCUGGUUUGAGAGAAUGAUCAGCCACACUGGGACUGAGACACGGCCCAGACUCCUACGGGAGGCAGCAGUGGGGAAUAUUGGACAAUGGGGGCAACCCUGAUCCAGCAAUGCCGCGUGUGUGAAGAAGGCCCGAGGGUUGUAAAGCACUUUCAGCAGUGAGGAAAUCUUUUUGGUUAAUACCCAAGAAGCUUGACGUUAACUGCAGAAGAAGCACCGCUAACU